UACGGAGGGUCCAAGCGUUAUCCGGAAUCAUUGGGUUUAAAGGGUGCGCAGGCGGAAUGGUAAGUCAGUGGUGAAAUCCUACAGCCUAACUGUAGAACUGCCAUUGAUACUGUCAUUCUUGAGUACAUAUGAAGUGGGCGGAAUGUGUCAUGUAGCGGUGAAAUGCAUAGAUAUGACACAGAACACCGAUAGCGAAGGCAGCUCACUAAAUUGUAACUGACGCUCAUGCACGAAAGCGUGGGGAGCAAACAGG
rnacentral:rRNA from 1 species